GCCAGCAGCUAUAUCACUCUGCAACUCACAACUGGCAACCCACUGAAGCUUAGCAUGUGUGAGCCUGGUCAGUACCUGGAUGGGAGACCUCCUGGGAAAAACUAAGGUUGCUGCUGGAA
rnacentral:rRNA from 1 species